rnacentral:rRNA from 1 species
CCUACGGGAGGCCGCAGUGAGGAAUAUUGGUCAAUGGGCGGAAGCCUGAACCAGCCAAGUAGCGUGCGGGAUGAAGGCCCUACGGGUCGUAAACCGCUUUUGCACGGGGAUAACACCCUCCACUUGUGGAGGUCUGCAGGUACCGUGCGACUAAGCUCCGGCUAACUACGUGCCAGCAGCCGCGGUAAUACGUAGGGAGCAAGCGUUGUUCGGAAUGACUGGGCGUAAAGGGUGCGUAGUCGGUUGUACAAGUUAGAAGUGAAAUACCCAGGGCUUAACUCGGGUGCUGCUUCUAAAACUGUAUGACUUGAGUGCAGUAGAGGUUAGUGGAAUUCCUAGUGUAGGGGUGGAAUGCGUAGAUAUUAGGAGGAACACCAGAGGCGAAGGCGGCUAACUGGACUGCAACUGACGCUGAGGCACGAAAGUGUGGGGAGCAAACAGGAUUAGAUACCCGAGUAGUC